rnacentral:rRNA from 1 species
GGAUACCCGAGGGAAACUUCGGUUAAUACGGUAUAAGACCACACUACCGCAUGGUAGAGGGGUAAAAGGGGCAACCUGGUAUGAGAUAGACUCGCGUCGCAUUAGCUAGUUGGUGAGGUAACGGCCCACCAAGGCGACGAUGCGUAGCCGACCUGAGAGGGUGAUCGGCCACAUUGGGACUGAGAUACGGCCCAGACUCCUACGGGAGGCAGCAGUGGGGAAUAUUGGGCAAUGGAGGAAACUCUGACCCAGCAAUGCCGCGUGAAUGAAGAAGGUCUUCGGAUUGUAAAGUUCUUUAGUCAGGGAAGAAGUCAAUGACGGUACCUGAAGAAUAAGCUCCGGCUAACUACGUGCCAGCAGCCGCGGUAAUACGUAGGGAGCAAGCGUUGUUCGGAAUGACUGGGCGUAAAGGGUGCGUAGGCGGUUGUACAAGUUAGAAGUGAAAUACCCAGGGCUUAACUCGGGUGCUGCUUCUAAAACUGUAUGACUUGAGUGCAGUAGAGGUUAGUGGAAUUCCUAGUGUAGCGGUGGAAUGCGUAGAUAUUAGGAGGAACACCAGAGGCGAAGGCGGCUAACUGGACUGCAACUGACGCUGAGGCACGAAAGUGUGGGGAGCAAACAGGAUUAGAUACCCUGGUAGUCCACACUGUAAACGAUGGAUACUAGAUGUAGGAGGUAUCGACUCCUUCUGCGUCGCA